rnacentral:rRNA from 1 species
GCGUCUGAAGAGGAGCCUGCGGCGGAUUAGCUAGUUGGUAAGGUAACGGCUUACCAAGGCCACGAUCCGUAGCCGGCCUGAGAGGGCGGUCGGCCACACUGACACUGACAUACGGGUCAG